rnacentral:rRNA from 1 species
AGCGAACGCUGGCGGCAGGCCUAACACAUGCAAGUCGAACGAAGUCUUCGGACUUAGUGGCGGACGGGUGAGUAACACGUGGGAACGUGCCUUUAGGUUCGGAAUAACUCAGGGAAACUUGUGCUAAUACCGAAUGUGCCCUUCGGGGGAAAGAUUUAUCGCCUUUAGAGCGGCCCGCGUCUGAUUAGCUAGUUGGUGAGGUAAAGGCUCACCAAGGCGACGAUCAGUAGCUGGUCUGAGAGGAUGAUCAGCCACAUUGGGACUGAGACGCGGCCCAAACUCCUACGGGAGGCAGCAGCGGGGAAUCUUGCGCAAUGGGCGAAAGCCUGACGCAGCCAUGCCGCGUGAAUGAUGAAGGUCUUAGGAUUGUAAAAUUCUUUCACCGGGGACGAUAAUGACGGUACCCGGAGAAGAAGCCCCGGCUAACUUCGUGCCAGCAGCCGCUGUAAAAC